rnacentral:rRNA from 1 species
UACGGAGGGUGCAAGCGUUAUCCGGAUUUACUGGGUUAAGGGUGCGUAGGUGGUAGGUAAGUCAGUGGUGAAAUCUUCGAGCUUAACUCGGAAACUGCCAUUGAUACUAUUUAUCUUGAAUACUCUGGAGGUAAGCGGAAUAUGUCAUGUAGCGGUGAAAUGCUUAGAUAUGACAUAGAACACCAAUUGCGAAGGCAGCUUACUACAGGGAUAUUAACACUGAGGCACGAAAGCGUGGGGGAUCAAACAGGA